GGCUGAAUGUGUGUUAAAAGGUCCGGGGGACAGAAACUUAGUGAUCCACAGCAUCCAUCUGAUGCCAUCCAAAGCUGUUGAGCAACCUCAGGAAAUGAGUGACUUGGUGUGAGAACCAUAUGGACGGGAAGACGUAACCUAGACCCAAGAUGCAAGUUCAUGGAUUGCAAGACAGGAGGCCAACUACUGAAAUAGCAUCUGACAAAAGUUCUGCUUUUUAAACACUGACCUCAAGAGAAGCUUUGAAGGCUGAAAGGGUUAUUAUGCGACUGGAC